GACGAACGCUGGCGGCGUGCUUAAUACAUGCAAGUCGAACGGAAAGGCCCUGCUUUUGUGGGGUGCUCGAGUGGCGAACGGGUGAGUAACACGUGAGUAACCUGCCCUUGACUUUGGGAUAACUUCAGGAAACUGGGGCUAAUACCGGAUAGGAGCUCCUGCUGCAUGGUGGGGGUUGGAAAGUUUCGGCGGUUGGGGAUGGACUCGCGGCUUAUCAGCUUGUUGGUGGGGUAGUGGCUUACCAAGGCUUUGACGGGUAGCCGGCCUGAGAGGGUGACCGGCCACAUUGGGACUGAGGUACGGCCCAGACUCCUACGGGAGGCAGCAGUGGGGAAUAUUGCACAAUGGGCGGAAGCCUGAUGCAGCAACGCCGCGUGCGGGAUGACGGCCUUCGGGUUGUAAACCGCUUUCGCCUGUGACGAAGCGUGAGUGACGGUAAUGGGUAAAGAAGCACCGGCUAACUACGUGCCAGCAGCCGCGGUGAUACGUAGGGUGCGAGCGUUGUCCGGAUUUAUUGGGCGUAAAGGGCUCGUAGGUGGUUGAUCGCGUCGGAAGUGUAAUCUUGGGGCUUAACCCUGAGCGUGCUUUCGAUACGGGUUGACUUGAGGAAGGUAGGGGAGAAUGGAAUUCCUGGUGGAGCGGUGGAAUGCGCAGAUAUCAGGAGGAACACCAGUGGCGAAGGCGGUUCUCUGGGCCUUUCCUGACGCUGAGGAGCGAAAGCGUGGGGAGCGAACAGGCUUAGAUACCCUGGUAGUCCACGCUGUAAACGGUGGGUACUAGGUGUGGGGUCCAUUCCACGGGUUCCGUGCCGUAGCUAACGCUUUAAGUACCCCGCCUGGGGAGUACGGCCGCAAGGCUAAAACUCAAAGGAAUUGACGGGGCCCCGCACAAGCGGCGGAGCAUGCGGAUUAAUUCGAUGCAACGCGUAGAACCUUACCUGGGUUUGACAUGGAUCGGGAGUGCUCAGAGAUGGGUGUGCCUCUUUUGGGGUCGGUUCACAGGUGGUGCAUGGCUGUCGUCAGCUCGUGUCGUGAGAUGUUGGGUUAAGUCCCGCAACGAGCGCAACCCUUGUUCACUGUUGCCAGCACGUUAUGGUGGGGACUCAGUGGAGACCGCCGGGGUCAACUCGGAGGAAGGUGGGGAUGACGUCAAGUCAUCAUGCCCCUUAUGUCCAGGGCUUCACGCAUGCUACAAUGGCUGGUACAGAGAGUGGCGAGCCUGUGAGGGUGAGCGAAUCUCGGAAAGCCGGUCUCAGUUCGGAUUGGGGUCUGCAACUCGACCUCAUGAAGUCGGAGUCGCUAGUAAUCGCAGAUCAGCAACGCUGCGGUGAAUACGUUCCCGGGGCU
rnacentral:rRNA from 1 species